rnacentral:rRNA from 1 species
CCCUACGGGGGGCAGCAGUGGAGAAUAUUGGGCAAUGGGCGCAAGCCUGACCCAGCAACGCCGCGUGAAGGAAGAAGGCUUUCGGGUUGUAAACUUCGUUUGUCAGGGACGAAGAAAGUGACGGUACCUGAGGAAUAAGCCACGGCUAACUACGUGCCAGCAGCCGCGGUAAUACGUAGGUGGCAAGCGUUAUCCGGAUUUACUGUGUGUAAAGGGCGUGUAGGCGGGAAAGCAAGUCAGAUGUGAAAACCACGGGCUCAACCUGUGGCCUGCAUUUGAAACUGUUUCUCUUGAGUACUGGAGAG